rnacentral:tRNA from 1 species
GCUUAGGUAGUAUACCCAUUACCUUGGUCUUGUAAACCAAAAACGGAGAAUCAAUCUCCCCAAAGCA